rnacentral:rRNA from 1 species
ACGGGUGCGGAACACGUACGCAACCUUCCCAAAACUGGGGGAUAGCUUUCGGAAACGAAAAUUAAUACCCCGUAACACAAUGAGAUGGCAUCAUUUUAUUGUUAUAGUUCCGACGGUUUUGGAUGGGCGUGCGGCUGAUUAGGUAGUUGGCGGGGUAAUAGCCCACCAAGCCUACGAUCAGUAACUGGUGUGAGAGCACGACCAGUCACACGGGCACUGAGACACGGGCCCGACUCCUACGGGAGGCAGCAGUAAGGAAUAUUGGUCAAUGGACGCAAGUCUGAACCAGCCAUGCCGCGUGGAGGAUGAAGGUCCUCUGGAUUGUAAACUUCUUUUAUCGGAGAAGAAAUCCCGGAAUUCUUUCUGGGUUGACGGUACCCGAUGAAUAAGCACCGGCUAACUCCGUGCCAGCAGCCGCGGUAAUACGGAGGGUGCAAGCGUUAUCCGGAUUCACUGGGUUUAAAGGGUGCGUAGGCGGGUUGGUAAGUCAGUGGUGAAAUCUUCAAGCUUAACUUGGAAACUGCCGUUGAUACUAUCAAUCUUGAAUAUUGUGGAGGUAAGCGGAAUAUGUCAUGUAGCG